GGCACGUGAUUGGUCAAUUUUUUUCAUAAUAUAUGUAAGUAGUCACCUUACAUAUACAGCGUAUCGAUAUGAAUCUUACAAGUUGAGUGGGAGCCCAUAUAUGAAAAGUACGCAAUUAUAGUUUGGUAAACGUAAUUUAAAUUCAACCAUUACAGUUGACGAGUAGAAAAUAAUUAUUUACGAUACAAGUGCAGAAAAUAGAAAAUUCGCAACGAGUGGUGAUAAAUUAAAACACGACCGAAGGGAGUCUUUUAAACCGACAAGAGUUGCGAAUUACCUAUUCGCACGUGUAUCGUACAACGUUUUACAGUACAUAUGGCUGUUUAAAGUUUCGAAAUAGGUAUGCACAGAAAGUGCUCAUUCUGUACAUGUACAUGUAUGUAGCACCAUAUGAGUAUGUACUGUAAACUAUGUUAUACAACAUCGUGUAACAGGGACAUCAUGAUAGUAUUGAUAGUAAUUUAUUAUGUUGUCCCUGUCACACGAUGUUAUAUAACAUUUUAAAACAGCCAAUGUGGGCACACCGUUACGACUUCGAUGGGGUUUCAUUUCAAAACAUAUUUGCUUAGUAGAACUCGACCACAUUUGAAAGUUUCUAUGUUAGAAUCCCAGUUAUAUAUUAAAUUUAGUCUUGUUUGCUCAGGUAAUGGUUCCUCUACAUUAUGGCCCAGCGCUGGACCAGCGAGAUGGCCAUGCGAUGUUUAUGGCUCCUCUACACGAUGACCCAGCGCUGAACCGCGAGAUGGCCAUGCGAUGGUUAAGAGCACGCGCUAUGGAAUGGGCCACGUGUAGGUGCGUACGCACCAUCGCUGGCUUACUUAUGAUGUGCGGACGAAAAACCAACACUGUAGCCAUCCAACGCCAUCCCGCCGCGCCAUAAGCCAUCAGACACCACUACUCUCUCUACACGCUGGACCAUCUUAGUGGGCCAGUAUGAUGGCAUAUCGUGUAGAGCCAUAACACACUACGUCGCACUUUAAAAAAACCGUUUUAAGAACUGAAUUCUAGGUAUCUAAUUCGUAUAAAAAAUGUGUUUAAUUGUCAAUGGCCUUUGUCACUGUCUCAUUAAUUACCUGUUUUAAUUACUUUUUAACUCCUUGUUAAUAAGAAGUUACUGUAUAUCAUUCCAUAUAAAUAGCAGCUGUUUUUUUAAAUAAAUCAUACGUUUCUUGGAACUAUUCAAGACAACACGUAAAGAUGAAACUCCUCGUAAUUUUCGCCGUCCUCGCCUACGCGUCGGCCGAGCUGUCCCUCACCGAGUGGCGGUCCGAAUACGGGGCAUUCCCUACAAGAAUGGCCAUUGCCCCUGCUAUGGCCAUACCCUAUCCUGCCCCUAUGUACUACAAGAUGGCACCAAAAGCGUACACCAUCCCUAAGGGCUACAGAGCGACAUAUGAUCCUGAGAAUUUCAAUGACGUCUUCGGAUUCUACCCUGAUUCCAAGAAGUAGAUACCUAAUUAAAGACGCUGACAACUUGAUGAAAUAAAUGCUGAUACAAAUAACUAA